rnacentral:rRNA from 1 species
ACAUGCAAGUCGUACGCACUGGCCCAACUGAUUGAUGGUGCUUGCACCUGAUUGACGAUGGAUCACCAGUGAGUGGCGGACGGGUGAGUAACACGUAGGUAACCUGCCCCGGAGCGGGGGAUAACAUUUGGAAACAGAUGCUAAUACCGCAUAACAACAAAAGCCACAUGGCUUUUGUUUGAAAGAUGGCUUUGGCUAUCACUCUGGGAUGGACCUGCGGUGCAUUAGCUAGUUGGUAAGGUAACGGCUUACCAAGGCGAUGAUGCAUAGCCGAGUUGAGAGACUGAUCGGCCACAAUGGAACUGAGACACGGUCCAUACUCCUACGGGAGGCAGCAGUAGGGAAUCUUCCACAAUGGGCGCAAGCCUGAUGGAGCAACACCGCGUGAGUGAAGAAGGGUUUCGGCUCGUAAAGCUCUGUUGUUGGAGAAGAACGUGCGUGAGAGUAACUGUUCACGCAGUGACGGUAUCCAACCAGAAAGUCACGGCUAACUACGUGCCAGCAGCCGCGGUAAUACGUAGGUGGCAAGCGUUAUCCGGAUUUAUUGGGCGUAAAGCGAGCGCAGGCGGUUGCUUAGGUCUGAUGUGAAAGCCUUCGGCUUAACCGAAGAAGUGCAUCGGAAACCGGGCGACUUGAGUGCAGAAGAGGACAGUGGAACUCCAUGUGUAGCGGUGGAAUGCGUAGAUAUAUGGAAGAACACCAGUGGCGAAGGCGGCUGUCUGGUCUGCAACUGACGCUGAGGCUCGAAAGCAUGGGUAGCGAACAGGAUUAGAUACCCUGGUAGUCCAUGCCGUAAACGAUGAGUGCUAGGUGUUGGAGGGUUUCCGCCCUUCAGUGCCGGAGCUAACGCAUUAAGCACUCCGCCUGGGGAGUACGACCGCAAGGUUGAAACUCAAAGGAAUUGACGGGGGCCCGCACAAGCGGUGGAGCAUGUGGUUUAAUUCGAAGCUACGCGAAGAACCUUACCAGGUCUUGACAUCUUGCGCUAACCUUAGAGAUAAGGCGUUCCCUUCGGGGACGCAAUGACAGGUGGUGCAUGGUCGUCGUCAGCUCGUGUCGUGAGAUGUUGGGUUAAGUCCCGCAACGAGCGCAACCCUUGUUACUAGUUGCCAGCAUUAAGUUGGGCACUCUAGUGAGACUGCCGGUGACAAACCGGAGGAAGGUGGGGACGACGUCAGAUCAUCAUGCCCCUUAUGACCUGGGCUACACACGUGCUACAAUGGACGGUACAACGAGUCGCAAGCUCGCGAGAGUAAGCUAAUCUCUUAAAGCCGUUCUCAGUUCGGACUGUAGGCUGCAACUCGCCUACACGAAGUCGGAAUCGCUAGUAAUCGCGGAUCAGCAUGCCGCGGUGAAUACGUUCCCGGGCCUUGUACACACCGCCCGUCACACCAUGGGAGUUUGUAACGCCCAAAGUCGGUGGCCUAACCUUUAUGGAGGGAGCCGCCUA